rnacentral:rRNA from 1 species
AUGGCGCCGCCGGCCCUCAUUCUCGCCGGAUCCGGCCGCCUCCACGCCAAAUCCGCCAGAAAUGGAUCCGUCCCGGCCAGAUCCGCCCGGAUCCGACCGGGCCCCGCCGUCGUCGCCACCGGAGCACCACCCCGCUCAACCUGCAGCGCCACCUUCCACCGGCAGGCCUUGGAGAACCUCAUCUCUCUGAUUUCCUCUCAAUUUUUGCAGGAUGGGCAAGAACCAGAUAUAGUAGUUACAUCUAAAGGGAUGAAUUUAGAGGAAGAUGCAGCAAGAAUUGAUCGAGUAAAAAGGCAACUUCGGCAUGCCAAUGGGACCUUUUUAGUGCUGUCAGGGGUGGCUGAGACCAUCAAGAACUUUGUCCUGAUCUACCAUGUUGACAUCACCAAGGUUCCUGACUUCAACACCAUGUACGAGCUGUACGACCCGUCAACGGUGAUGUUCUUCUUCCGCAACAAGCACAUCAUGAUUGAUCUUGGGACAAGAAACAACAACAAGAUCAACUGGGCAAUGAAAGACAAGGAAGAGUUUGUUGACAUCGUGGAGACUGUCUAUAGAGGAGCUCGUAAGGCUGUCGUCUGGUGA